rnacentral:rRNA from 1 species
CAAGCCUGAACCAGCCAUGUAGCGUGAAGGAUGACGGUUUGUUUGAUUGUAAACUUCUUUUCUGUGCGAUUAAAGUGUGGCAUUUAUGCCCAUAUUUGCAGUUAUCUCAGGAAUAAGCAUCGGCUAACUCCGUGCCAGCAGCCGCGGUAAUACGGAGGAUGCGAGCGUUAUCCGGAUUUAUUGGGUUUAAAGGGAGCGUAGAUGGUUUUUUAAGUCAGCUGUCAAAUGUAUGGGCUCAACCCUUAUUAUCAGUUGAAACUGUAAGACUUGAGUGCGGUGUGGGUACAUGGAAUUCGUGGUGUAGCGGUGAAAUGCAUAGAUAUCACGAAGAACUCCGAAAGCGUAGGCAUUGUACCAUAGCGCCACUGACAUUGAUGCUCGAAGGUGCGGGAAUCAAACAGGAUUAGAUACCCUGGUAGUCCGCACAGUAAACGAUGAAUGCUCGACGUUGUCGAUAUACUGUCAGCGUCCAAGCGAAAGCGUUAAGCAUUCCACCUGGGGAAGUACGCCGGCAACGGUGAAACUCAAAGGAAUUGACAGGGGCCCGCACAAGCGGAGGAACAUGUGGUUUAAUUCGAUGAUACGCGC